rnacentral:rRNA from 1 species
GACGAACGCUGGCGGCGUGCUUAACACAUGCAAGUCGAGCGAUGAAGCACCUUCGGGUGUGAAUUAGCGGCGAACGGGUGAGGAACACGUGAAGAAUCUGCCUUCAACUCUGGGAUAACUCCGGGAAACCGGGGCUAAUACCGGAUAUGAGCCUUGAUCGCAUGAUCGGGGCUGGAAAGUUUUUCGGUUGAAGAUGACUUCGCGGCCUAUCAGCUUGUUGGUGAGGUAAUGGCUCACCAAGGCGACGACGGGUAGCCGGCCUGAGAGGGCGACCGGCCACACUGGGACUGAGACACGGCCCAGACUCCUACGGGAGGCAGCAGUGGGGAAUAUUGGGCAAUGGAGGAAACUCUGACCCAGCGACGCCGCGUGAGGGAUGAAGGCCUUCGGGUUGUAAACCUCUUUCAGUAGGGAAGAAGCGAAAGUGACGGUACCUACAGAAGAAGCACCGGCCAGCUAUGUGCCAGCAGCCGCCGCAG